GAUGAACGCUGGCGGCGUGCCUAAUACAUGCAAGUAGAACGCUAAAGGAGUAGCUUGCUCUUCUGGAUGAGUUGCGAACGGGUGAGUAACGCGUAGGUAACCUGCCUGGUAGCGGGGGAUAACUAUUGGAAACGAUAGCUAAUACCGCAUGACAACAGUUAUUGCAUGAUAACUGUUUAAAAGGGGCAACUGCUCCGCUACCAGAUGGACCUGCGUUGGAUUAGCUUGUUGGUGUGGUAACGGCUCACCAAGGCGACGAUACAUAGCCGACCGGAGAGGGUGAGCGGCCACACUGGGAGGGAGACACGGCCCAGAGGCCUACGGGAAGCGGCAGUAGGGAAUCGUGGGCAAGGGACGGAAGACUGAGCGAGCAAGGCCGCGUGAGUGAAGAAGGUUUUCGGGUCGGAAAGCUCGGUUGUAAGGGAAGAACGAGUGUGAGAGUGGAAAGUUCACACUGUGACGGUAACUGAUCAGAAAGGGACGGCUAACUACGUG
rnacentral:rRNA from 1 species